rnacentral:rRNA from 1 species
GAUCCUGGCUCAGGAUGAACGCUGACAGAAUGCUUAACACAUGCAAGUCUACUUGAACUUCGGUUUGGGUGGCGGACGGGUGAGUAACGCGUAAAGAACUUGCCUCACAGUUAGGGACAACAUUUGGAAACGAAUGCUAAUACCUGAUAUUAUGAUUUUAGGGCAUCCUAAGAUUAUGAAGACUAUAUGCGCUGUGAGAGAGCUUUGUCGGUCCCACUUAGUCUAGUUUGGUAGGAGGUAAACGGG